rnacentral:rRNA from 1 species
UACGUAGGAGGCGAGCGUUGUCCGGAUUUACUGGGCGUAAAGAGCGCGCAGGCGGUCGUUCAAGUCGAGUGUGAAAGCCCCCGGCUCAACUGGGGAGGGUCACUCGAUACUGAUCGACUCGAAGGCAGGAGAGGGUAGUGGAAUUCCCGGUGUAGAGGUGAAAUUCGUAGAUAUUCGCAAGAACACCAGUGGCGAAGGCGGCUCACUGGCCCGGUACUGACGCUGAGGCACGAAAGCGUGGGGAGCAAACAGG